rnacentral:rRNA from 1 species
UGGGGAAUUUUGGACAAUGGGCGAAAGCCUGAUCCAGCAAUGCCGCGUGUGUGAAGAAGGCCUUCGGGUUGUAAAGCACUUUUGUCCGGAAAGAAAUCCUUGGCUCUAAUACAGUCGGGGGAUGACGUACCGGAAGAAUAAGCACCGGCUAACUACGUGCCAGCAGCCGCGGUAAUACGUAGGGUGCAAGCGUUAAUCGGAAUUACUGGGCGUAAAGCGUGCGCAGGCGGUUUGCUAAGACCGAUGUGAAAAUCCCCGGGCUCAACCUGGGAACUGCAUUGGUGACUGGCAGGCUAGAGUAUGGCAGAGGGGGGUAGAAUUCCACGUGUAGCAGUGAAAUGCGUAGAGAUGUGGAGGAAUACCGAUGGCGAAGGCAGCCCCCUGGGCCAAUACUGACGCUCAUGCACGAAAGCGUGGGGAGCAAACAGGAUUAGAUACCCUGGUAGUCCACGCCCUAAAACGAUGUCAACUAGUUGUUGGGGAUUCAUUUCCUUAGUAACGUAGCUAACGCGUGAAGUUGACCGCCUGGGGAGUACGGUCGC